rnacentral:rRNA from 1 species
UACGGGGGGGGCAAGCGUUGUUCGGAAUUACUGGGCGUAAAGGGCUUGUAGGUGGCCAACUAAGUCAGACGUGAAAUCCCCCGGCUUAACCUGGGAACUGCGUCUGAUACUGGACGGCUUGAGUAUGGGAGAGGAACGUAGAAUUCCAGGUGUAGCGGUGAAAUGCGUAGAUAUCUGGAGGAAUACCGGUGGCGAAGGCGGCGUUCUGGACCAUUACUGACACUGAAUCGCGAAAGCUAGGGGAGCAAACGGG